rnacentral:rRNA from 1 species
GCCUGUUUAACAAAAACACCGCCUUUUGAAGGGAAAAUAAAAGGUCUGGCCUGCCCACUGUAAAUGAAGGGCCGCAGUAUAUUGACUGUGCAAAGGUAUCAUAAUCAUUAGUCUUUUAAUUGAAGGCUGGUAUGAAUGGUUGGAUGAGGUAAAAGCUGUCUCUUACAAGAAAAAUAAAACUUAGCUUUUCAGUCAAAAGGCUGGAAUAUAAUUGAAGGACGAGAAGACCCUAUAGAUCUUUAUAAAACUACAUAAACUUGAGGGAUGAGGUAGAAGUUUAAGGAAUUUUUAUUUGGUUGGGGUGACAAGGAAAUAUAAUAACUUUCUUAAAAAGAAAUCACUUAUUAGUGAAUGAGGGAUCCAUAAAUUAUGAUUAUAAGAGUAAGUUACCUUAGGGAUAACAGCAUAAUCUUCUUGGAGAGUUCUAAUCGAUAAGGAGGGUUGUGACCUCGAUGUUGGACUAAGAUUUAGCCCAGGUGCAGCAGUUUGGGAUGGGGGUCUGUUCGACCAAUAAUAUCUUACAUGAUCUGAGUUCAAACCGGAGCUCC